AGGUGUGGCUAACCCCGGGGAACUCAGGCACAAGCAUCGCACCUGAGUGACCAGAAGGGGUGGAGCUUCAAUCCACCCCUCUUCUCUCUCAUUUAAGGGUUAGCAGCUGAGAGAGCUUUAUCUCUCUGGGAGGACUGCUCUCCUUUUGAGUUGUUGCUGGUUAUUGGAAGGGUGAAACUGUUCCUACAACAACAGUAUAACAGGUUGAAAUAGGUCACAGGCAGCCCUCCUUACAUUGCUCAAGAACAUUAGAAGGAUUAAUCAUUUAUGGAUUAUCUCCUAGAAACAAUGAUCUGGUGCAGACAGGAAGACGCUGUCUGCCUGCCAGCUUGAAACAUGUAAAUUGCUGGAAUUUGCAUCAAAAAUGUGACAGCUCCUCUCUGACAAAGAUUCAGAAAAAUUCCAAUCAGCUCCGUUUUCAUGAUGGGCUUGUCAUCUGAAUAAUUCAUGACUGGUUUUGUCUAGGAGAAAAUCCACUGGUGAGUGCAAGGAGGUGUGUGUUACAGCAGCAUUUGAAGUGUGUCAGCUCUUUAUCUCUUUGCCGAACACCUUGGAAUCCAGAAGCCCAAGCUCCUUUCUCUUUCCUGCAGGGUAGAGACAGAUGCUUUUUUGAAAAGAGAGGCUGUGUGCCACAGUCGUUCUUCUCAGCAAUUCAAAAAACACAAAUGCUGUUACUCUGCAGAUGAUUUGCUGUUUAUAAUGCAGUGUACAGUUGAUAUAAUGUACAGCUGGACAAAUUGUGCAAAUGAAAGGUCAGUUGAUUCAGUGGUUAGAUCCAACUCGGUUCUUCUAGGAGCACCAAUCCUUGCAGCAUAACUGAGGUAUGUUAGUGUGAAAAGGUAAGCACAGGUAUUUCCUUAAUGUCUUAAUGAGUAAUGCCAAUGGUCGGUUUUAAUGCUGGGAUAACGCUAACUGGUUCCUGUAAAACUGACCUGUCAGUGCUAAAAUGUUAUUCUGCACAGCAUUGUAGUUCCUCUGUUGCAGUUCAGUCUUUCUGCAGGAAAAAUAAGGAUUAACUCCAUAGCUCUGCAUGCUGAGUAAUUUUAUAUGGUGCAGAAGACAAAUUUGAAGAGCCACUUUUGCAAAGUAGUGAGCAAACAACUGAAAAAUAAAACUGGGAAGCUAGCUUGGUAACUCUAGUUUAAAUAUAUAUUAUUGUAAUUCCUGCUAUGGGACAUAGAAGAA